GAUGAAGAACGUAGCGAAAUGCGAUAAGUAAUGUGAAUUGCAGAAUUCAGUGAAUCAUCGAAUCUUUGAACGCUCAUUGCGCCCCUUGGUAUUCCGGGGGGCAUGCCUGUUCGAGCGUCAUUACAACCCUCAAGCUCUGCUUGGUCUUGGGCGUCACCGGUCCCCGGUGUGCCUUAAAAUCAGUGGCGGCGCCAUCUGGCUCUAAGCGUAGUACAUACUCUCGCUACAGACGUCCGGUGGAUGCUGGCCAGCAACCCCCAAUUUAUCAAGGUUGACCUCGGAUCAGGUAGGGAUACCCGCUGAACUUAAGCAUAUCAAUAAGCGGAGGA
rnacentral:misc_RNA from 1 species